AAUGGGCGCAAGCCUGAUCCAGCAAUGCCGCGUGCAGGAAGAAGGCCUUCGGGUUGUAAACUGCUUUUGUACGGAGCGAAAAGGCUUCCUCUAAUACAGGGAGCUCAUGACGGUACCGUAAGAAUAAGCACCGGCUAACUACGUGCCAGCAGCCGCGGUAAUACGUAGGGUGCGAGCGUUAAUCGGAAUUACUGGGCGUAAAGCGUGCGCAGGCGGUUUUGUAAGACAGGCGUGAAAUCCCCGGGCUCAACCUGGGAAUGGCGCUUGUGACUGCAAAGCUGGAGUGCGGCAGAGGGGGAUGGAAUUCCGCGUGUAGCAGUGAAAUGCGUAGAUAUGCGGAGGAACACCGAUGGCGAAGGCAAUCCCCUGGGCCUGCACUGACGCUCAUGCACGAAAGCGUGGGGAGCAAA
rnacentral:rRNA from 1 species